CUUUUAGGAAAACGUCUAACCGGCUGAUAAACACCUUCUUGCUGCCAUUGGUCCAUGUCAUCGGUAGGUGUGACGUGAGGCUCCACCUACUACUUUGUUUACGUUUUUCAGUCAGUAUUCAACGUGAACACCUGCGUGCAAGACCAUGCCAUGAGCCUCAAGGAACCGGGUCAAAGUUAAAGGACGGAGGAAAACACAUUCUACCUGUGUCCUCAUGCGAUUCAAGUGCCGCUGGCUCGCGGAAUCAGCAUUUCCAUGGGAAACCUGAUUGUUUCCAUGGGACCGCUGAUCAUGCCAACUUUCAGCUGAUGAGCGGCACCUGACUGUGUCGGUCCUGUUACCUGUUUUCUGUGUUGGUUGCCAGGCUUCGCUGUAGCGCCCGGAUUGUGGUUACCUUCCUGUUGGUUGCAUUGCUUGCCUUGACGCUUCACCUGAGUAUUCCUCAUCGGUUACCCCUCUACACUGGAUCUGCUCGUCACACUACUGUGACGCACACAAACCUACGAGCACCCUAUCCUCCAGAGGAUUCCUCGUGGAUCUGUGCUCCACACUACCUCAAUGCACACAAACCUACGAACACACUCUAUCUCCAUGCUGCAGUCGAUGCCAGGGCUCCAUCACACUUCACCAGCUCUGCUGUGUUUAAAACAUAAUAAAGUAUUUUACUUUGC